rnacentral:rRNA from 1 species
CAACAGGAUUAGAGACCCUGGUAGUUCCUACCUUAAACGAUGCCGACAGGAGUUUGUCAUUUGUUAAUGGCAGAAUCUUUGGAGAAAUCAUAGUUCUUGGGCUCUGGGGGAACUACGACCGCAAGGCUGAAACUUGAAGGAAUUGACGGAAGGGCACACCAGGGGUGGAGCCUGUGGCUUAAUUUGAAUCAACACGGGGAAACUUACCAGGACCAGAUGUUUUUUAUGACUGACAGGCUUCGGGUCUUUCAGGAUAUUGUUUUUGGUGGUGCAUGGCCGUUGGUGGUGCGUGGGUUGACCUGUCUAGCGUUGAUUCAGCUAACGAGCGAGAUUAUCGCCAAUUAUUUACUUUGCCGAAGUCCUUCGGUUAAAGUUCUAAUUGGGACUCCCUGCGAUUUUAGCAGGUGGAAGAGGGUAGCAAUAACAGGUCCGUGAUGCCCUUUAGAUGCUCUGGGCUGCACGCGUGCUACAAUGUUAGGAUCAAUAGGACUGCGAGCCUGAGAGGGUGCGCUACUCUUAUAAUCCCUAACGUAGUUGGGAUUGACGUUUGUAAUCAGCGUCAUGAACCAGGAAUCCCUUGUAAAUGUGUGUCAACAACGCACGUUGAAUACGUCCCUGCCCUUUGUACACACCGCCCGUCGCUCCUACCGAUUGGAUGACUCGGUGAAAUCACCGGAUGCUUACGAGCAGAAAGUGAUUAAAUCACGUUAUCUAGAGGAAGGAGAAGUCGUAACAAGGUAACGGUAGGUGAACCUGCCGUUGGAUC